rnacentral:snRNA from 1 species
GCAUCUCCAUUUGAAGUAUCU